UACGAAGGGAGCUAGCGUUGUUCGGAAUCACUGGGCGUAAAGCGCACGUAGGCGGAUGUGUCAGUCAGGGGUGAAAUCCCCGGAGCUCAACUUCGGAACUGCCUUUGAUACUGGGAGUCUUGAGUUCGGGAGAGGUGAGUGGAACUGCGAGUGUAGAGGUGAAAUUCGUAGAUAUUCGCAAGAACACCAGUGGCGAAGGCGGCUCACUGGCCCGAUACUGACGCUGAGGUGCGAAAGCGUGGGGAGCAAACAGG
rnacentral:rRNA from 1 species